CUACGGGUUGCACCAGUGAGGAAUAUUGCACAAUGGGGGGAACCCUGAUGCAGCAACGCCGCGUGGAGGAUGACGCAUUUCGGUGUGUAAACUCCUUUUAUAUGUCAAGAAAAUGACGGUAGCAUAUGAAUAAGCACCGGCUAACUCCGUGCCAGCAGCCGCGGUAAUACGGAGGGUGCAAGCGUUACUCGGAACCACUGGGCGUAAAGGACGCGUAGGCGGGUUGGAAAGUCAGGUGUGAAAUCCUACAGCUUAACUGUAGAACUGCACUUGAAACUUCUAAUCUAGAGUAUGGGAGGGGGAGAUGGAAUUAGUGGUGUAGGGGUAAGAUCCGUAGAUAUCACUAGGAAUACCUAAAGCGAAGGCGAUCUCCUGGAACAUUACUGACGCUAAGGCGUGAAAGCGUGGGGAGCAAACAGGAUUAGAUACCCCCGUAGUC
rnacentral:rRNA from 1 species